rnacentral:lncRNA from 1 species
GAGGGAGAAAUUAAUGCUGAGUUGAUUCUUUAGAAUGUUUUUGACUCGACUAUCACCAGAACUAACAGUCUACUUCUCAAAAGGAGCCUAAUUCUUUUUUUUUUUUUUUUUUUUUUGUGAGAUAGAAAAAAAAAAAAAAAAAGGCAGAUACAUCUAGGACUUUCAGCCCUAAAUUGGUUCUUACACAAAACACUUGCUCCACUCAGCUGUG